rnacentral:rRNA from 1 species
AUGUCUCCCGACGGCACGCGUCUCGAUUGCCCCCUGGGUGGCGGCCGCCCGGCUGAGCUCCUCGGCGGCCCGUUGCCCUGGUGGUGGCGGCUUGGGGGCCAGCAGGGCCUCGCCUCCCUGGCGGACCUUGUUCGUCGCCGUCGUCGUCGCGGAGCCCCGACGGAUUUUGAAACUGAUUUAUAUCCAAUGAAACUCGACAGAAACUCAAAAAAACAGAGGACUAAACUGUGUCCAUGGGUUAUGAAGCGAAUUCAGAAGGUGGGGAGAGAUAUGAGAAAACGAAUUGCACCUUUAGAAUUUUGA